GAGUUUGAUCCUGGCACAGAUUGAACGCUGGCGGCGUGCUUAACACAUGCAAGUCGAACGAGAAAGUUUCAGCUUGCUGAAGCGAGUAAAGUGGCGCACGGGUGAAUAACGCGUGGGUAAUCUGCCCACUGGGUUCGGGAUAACCCGCCGAAAGGCGAGCUAAUACCAGAUAACAUCUUUGACACCUCAGUGUUAAAGAUCAAAGGUAGCCUCUACAUGUAAGCUUCUGCCCAGGGAAGAGCCCGCGUACCAUUAGAUUGUUGGUGAGGUAACGGCUCACCAAGACUUUGAUGGAUAGCUGGUCAGAGAAGAUGAUCACCCACACUGAAACUGAGACACGGUCCACACUCCUACGGGAGGCAGCAGUGAGGAAUUUUGCGCAAUGGGGGAAACCCUGACACAGCAACCCCGCGUGGGUGAUGAAGGCCCUUGGCUCAUAAAGCUCUGUCAAGUGAAAAGAAAAUAUGAACUAUAAAUAGUAGUGCGUAUUGACGGUACCGCUAAAGGAAGCACCGGCUAACUCCGCCCCAGCACCCGCGGAAAUACGGGGGGUGCAAGCGUUUAAUCAGAUUUAUUGGGAAUAAAGGGCGCACAGGCGGCCUGGUAAGUCAGAUGUGAAAGCCCGGGGCUCAACCCCGGAAGUACAUUUGAAACUAUCAGGCUUGAGUAUGGGAGAGGGAAGUGGAAUUCCUGGUGUAGCGGUGAAAUGCGUAGAUAUCAGGAGGAACACCGGUGGCGAAGGCGACUUCCUGGACCAAUACUGACGCUGAGGCGCGAAGGCGUGGGUAGCAAACA
rnacentral:rRNA from 1 species